CUUUUCAGCUAUGUACAGCUUACAGCAAUUUGAUAAAGUAUUCUUUUGUACAUAAAAUGGAAACAUUUGCUUUUCUUCCCUACUUGAUCUCUCCAAAGUUCAGAAACUAUUGGUGAGUAUUCUUAUUUUUAUGUCAAAUAUGAGUAUUUACAUAAGUUCAAUAAGAAUUUAACUGUAUCCUUUAACAAGAUACAGUUGAAAUAUUGAAUAUAUUAUUACUAAGGCUUUGACUGGAAUGUCAUAUUUGAAAAUGUGCAUAGAAUGCCUGGCUUCGGGAGUUCCCAACCCUUCAGAGAGUGAGUAAAAAGUUGUCACUUCUUGGCAGGCCAGAGAACAUCAAGAUAUUACAAGAUAUUACUGUAGGCAAAGUCUGAUAUCUGCUUUGGUUUGACUUCCUAGUGUCAAGAGGUUUUUAAAAGUCCAAAUUUAGCUUCCUUGUGAAAAUUUACAGCAAAGCAAAUUUAAAAAGAGUGAGCUUAUGUGGCUAUUCUUGCUAUACUUAUGUAAAUAUCAGGCCAAGUUUGAGGCUAAACUUAUUUUACAAACGUAUUGGUCUUACCAUGAUUAUCUUUAAUAAAAACGGGGGUGACUGUAGAGAGAAAAAUUAUGUUUCAGAAGAAAAGUACAGUACAUCUGUUAUUUGAUUGUAGACCUGUUUAUUGCUUUUGAGUUUUUAUGAUCUAUCUGUAGACUGGAUUCCAAAUUCUUUCUAGUUUCCUCUAGCAUCUGGGUACAACUCUUCAACAAAGAAUAAGAACUGCUCUGUUCCUGAAACCCUAUGGCCAAAGUUGGACGAUUCAAUAUACAUUCCAAGGGACAAGUCUCAUGCCUGAUGUUUGAGCCACAUAGAUAGUUUGUCAGAAUGUCUGAUGCCACAACUGAAGAUACUCAAACUGCAAACUAGGAUAAGUCGCUGACUUCAUGCUGUGGAUAGCUUAUCACAAAACCAGAGGAACAAGACUCCAUAUCAUAGUGGUUCAACUCAUCAAGACCCUGGCUUAGGAGCAUACUCCAAACUCUUGCUCCUUUAUGUUACCCACCAGAGGGAUGAAAGCGAUUGAUUCUACCAGAAGCUAUUGAAAAAUGUAUAUGGCUUUUAGUAGUCGUGAUGAUGAUGAUGAUGAUGAUGAUGACAAUUGUUUUGGCAUUUUCAGAUUUCAGAAGCAAAUUGCUGCCUCCUGGGCACUCUA